CUUAUACUCCCUCCGUCCGGAAAUACUUGUCAUCAAAAUGAAUAAAAGGAGAUGUAUCUAGAUGUAUUUUAGUUGUAGAUACAUCCAUUUUUGUCCAUUUUGAUGACAAGUAUUUUCGGACGGAGGAAGUACGUU
rfam:Triticum aestivum genome assembly, contig: Triticum_aestivum_CS42_TGACv1_scaffold_195399_3AL